rnacentral:antisense_RNA from 1 species
AACAUCCUUAGAUCUGUUCCUCUUCUCCCUUCUCACGGCACUGCCUCUUAUGAUCUCAAUGAGUGCAGCGGUCUCCAAACUAGUCCCCUGCCUCAGUUCUCCCUCCUUCCUAUCCUCACUCAACUCAGCCUCCAAAUGAUCUUGGAGAAAAUCAGUCCUCAUGCUACUCCCAAGCUGAAAACUCCAACUGCUUCCCAAGCUCCAACUGCUUCCCAUAGAUGGAUAGAGAGCAUGUCUUUAAAGCGCACCCCUCCACACAGGCUCCCGGCACCCCUGGUUGGGAUACUGCCCCCCUCUGCUCCCACACCUCUGUGGGAAGCUCUAAGGAAGCAGCGCUGUCCCUGCCUGGCAGAGGAGACUAGGACUUCCCACAUCUCUCUGUGUCCCCAGGCUGAGCCGGGCAAGAUCACAUCUGACAUCUGCACAUCUCAGCGCCCAGGCCCUGCCUAACUCAGAGUGAAGUGUCUUCCAAUCCAUUGAAAUUUCUAGUCCCGGGGUCUAGAGGACACUAGGGCCACUUUGCAAUGGCAGAAGGAGCAUUGCACAGGCCUGGUUACAAGUCCUGACUUUAGUUGAGGACCUGCCAUAUGACCUUGAGCAAAUUGCUGUACUUCUCUGGAUCUCAGUUUCUACAACCUAAUUCACUGGGCCCAGCCUGAAGCCUGCAAGCACUGGAUGAGUGGACGUGGCUGAGCAGCCAUGAGAAAGAUGUGGGGCUCUCCAGUGACUAUAGACCCAGCAUAAAUCAACAGUUCGAGGUGCUCAUCCCCAAAGCCAUGGUGAGACCUUAGCUGCUGUAAUAAAAGUGUAGUGCCAAAGUAAGGGCAAUGACAGUCUUGCUUGGCUUCAUGCUGGAGCUCAACUCUGGGCCACACUCUUUUGUGGGGGUGGGUGGUAAUUAUCUUUUUUAAGCAAAACACUGGCUAUAUACAGUCAAGUGUGCAAGGCUUAAGUAUAAAACUCAUGUAAUUUUCCCACAUUUAUAUACCUAUGUAGACACUCAAACGAAGAUACUAAACAUUUCCAGCCCCCAAGAAAACUUGCUUAAACUCCCUCCUAGUCAAUCUCCCUCAAAAGUAACUAUUUAUAAUAUAUAUAAAAAUAAUAUAUUUAUAGUACUAUUCUGACCUUUAAGACUGUAGAGUAGUUUUGGCUUUUU